GAGAUGGGAGGAUUGCUUGAGCCCAGGAGAUGGAGGCUGCAGUGAGUUAGGAUUGUACCACUGCACUCCAGCCUGAGUGACAGAGCAAGACCCUAUCUC
rnacentral:miRNA from 1 species